rnacentral:rRNA from 1 species
UUUCGACGGUAUGGUAUUGGCUUACCGUGGCAGUGACGGUUAACGGGGGAUUAGGGUUCGAUUCCGGAGAGGGAGCCUGAGAAACGGCUACCACAUCUAAGGAAGGCAGCAGGCGCGCAAAUUACCCAAUUCUAACAGCAUAAGAGAGGUAGUGACAAGAAAUAACAAUACAAGGCAGUUAAAAUGCUUUGUAAUUGGAAUGAUAGAAAUUUAAACACUUUUUAAAGUAUCAAUUGGAGGGCAAGUCUGGUGCCAGCAGCCGCGGUAAUUCCAGCUCCAAUAGCGUAUAUUAAAAUUGUUGCAGUUAAAAAGCUCGUAGUUGAAUUUCUGCUAAAAAUAACCGGUCUGCUUUUAACAAAAGUGGUAUCUUGGUGUGUUUUUAGCAAUAAUGUCCUUUGAAAUGUGUUUUACUUUGUUGUAAAAGACAAUAUUCAGGAUUUUUACUUUGAGAAAAUUAGAGUGUUUCUAGCAAGCUAAUGUUUUGAAUACUGCAGCAUGGAAUAAUAAAAUAGAAUUUUAGUUCUACAUUGUUGGUUUUAAGAGCUGAAUUAAUGAUUGAUAGGGACAGUUGGGGGCAUUUGUAUUUAACUGUCAGAGGUG